UGGGGAAUAUUGCACAAUGGGGGGAACCCUGAUGCAGCGACGCCGCGUGAGUGAAGAAGUAUUUCGGUAUGUAAAGCUCUAUCAGCAGGGAAGAAGAUGACGGUACCUGAGUAAGAAGCCCCGGCUAACUACGUGCCAGCAGCCGCGGUAAUACGUAGGGGGCAAGCGUUAUCCGGAUUUACUGGGUGUAAAGGGAGCGCAGACGGCUAUGCAAGUCUGAAGUGAAAGCCCGGGGCUCAACCCCGGGAUUGCUUUGGAAACUGUGUAGCUAGAGUGUCGGAGAGGUAAGCAGAAUUCCCAGUGUAGCGGUGAAAUGCGUAGAUAUUAGGAAGAAUACCGGUGGCGAAGGCGGCUUACUGGACGAUAACUGACGUUCAGGUUCGAAGGCGUGGGGAGCAAACAGG
rnacentral:rRNA from 1 species